rnacentral:misc_RNA from 1 species
GGAUGGGCAGCAAUAAUAAUGGGGCUAUGCUCAGGUUCAAUUCCUUGGUUCACUAUGAUGGUUGUGCACAAGAAGUCUGAGCUACUUCAAAAGGUUGAUGACACAAUGGCUGUUUUACACACGCAUGCAAUUGCAGGAAGCCUCGGUGGAAUCCUCACAGGUCUCUUCGCUGAGCCUCGACUAUGCUUUUUAUUCACAGGGUCAUAUGCCCAGUAUGUUGGAUUAUUUUAUGGUUUUCAAAUGCGAAAAGUCCAUACCGGGUUUCGACAAGUAGGAAUUCAGCUUCUGGGAAUUCUAUAUGU